rnacentral:misc_RNA from 1 species
GAUGAAGAACGCAGCGAAAUGCGAUAAGUAAUGUGAAUUGCAGAAUUCAGUGAAUCAUCGAAUCUUUGAACGCACCUUGCGCUCUUUGGUAUUCCGAGGAGCAUGCCUGUUUGAGUGUCAUUAAAUUCUCAACCCCUCUCCAGCUUUUGUGGGCUGGUCAUGGUGGCUUGGACUGUGGGGGUUAUCUUACAGGCCUUCAGGUCAGCUCCCCUGAAAUGCAUUAGCGGAACCGUUUGCGAUCCGUCACGGGUGUGAUAGUUAUCUGCCCCAAAGACGACGAUCUAUCUGUUCAGCUUCUAAUCGUCUGUGGACAGCUUUUGAAACACUUGACCUCAAAUCAGGUAGGACUACCCGCUGAACUUAAGCAUAUCAAUAAGCGGAGGA